GAUGAACGCUAGCGGGAGGCCUAACACAUGCAAGCCGAGCGGUAUUGUUUCUUCGGAAAUGAGAGAGCGGCGUACGGGUGCGUAACACGUGUGCAACCUGCCUUUAUCUGGGGGAUAGCCUUUCGAAAGGAAGAUUAAUACUCCAUAAUAUAUUGAACGGCAUCGUUUAAUAUUGAAAGCUCCGGCGGAUAGAGAUGGGCACGCGCAAGAUUAGCUAGUUGGUGAGGUAACGGCUCACCAAGGCGAUGAUCUUUAGGGGGCCUGAGAGGGUGAUCCCCCACACGGGUACUGAGACACGGACCAGACUCCUACGGGAGGCAGCAGUGAGGAAUAUUGGUCAAUGGGUGCAAGCCUGAACCAGCCAUCCCGCGUGAAGGACGACUGCCCUAUGGGUUGUAAACUUCUUUUGUAUAGGGAUAAACCUACCCUCGUGAGGGUAGCUGAAGGUACUAUACGAAUAAGCACCGGCUAACUCCGUG
rnacentral:rRNA from 1 species